rnacentral:rRNA from 1 species
CGCCAGACUCCUACGGGAGGCAGCAGUGGGGAAUAUUGGACAAUGGGGGAAACCCUGAUCCAGCGACGCCGCGUGAGUGAAGAAGUAUUUCGGUACGUAAAGCUCUAUCAGCAGGAAAGAAAAUGACGGUACCUGACUAAGAAGCCCCGGCUAACUACGUGCCAGCAGCCGCGGUAAUACGUAGGGGGCAAGCGUUAUCCGGAUUUACUGGGUGUAAAGGGAGCGUAGACGGCAGCGCAAGUCUGGAGUGAAAUGCCGGGGCCCAACCCCGGAACUGCUCUGGAAACUGUGAAGCUGGAGUGCAGGAGAGGUAAGCGGAAUUCCUGGUGUAGCGGUGAAAUGCGUAGAUAUCAGGAGGAACACCGGCGGCGAAGGCGGCUUACUGGACUGUAACUGACGUUGAGGCUCGAAGGCGUGGGGAGCAAACAGGAUUAGAUACCCCAGUA